CUACGGGGGGCUGCAGUGAGGAAUUUUGCGCAAUGGGGGAAACCCUGACGCAGCAACGCCGCGUGAGUGAUGAAGGCCCUCGGGUCGUAAAGCUCUGUCAAGUGGGAAGAACCGAUCGAUAUUGAAUAGAUAUUGAUACUGACGGUACCACAAGAGGAAGCACCGGCUAACUCCGUGCCAGCAGCCGCGGUAAUACGGGGGGUGCAAGCGUUAUUCGGAAUCAUUGGGCGUAAAGGGCGCGCAGGCGGCCUUGUCAGUCAGAUGUGAAAGCCCGGGGCUCAACCCCGGAAGUGCAUUUGAAACUAUGAGGCUUGAGUAUGGGAGAGGGAAGUGGAAUACCUGGUGUAGCGGUGAAAUGCGUAGAUAUCAGGAGGAACACCGGUGGCGAAGGCGACUUCCUGGACCAAUACUGACGCUGAGGCGCGAAGGCGUGGGGAGCAAACAGGAUUAGAUACCCCUGUAGUC
rnacentral:rRNA from 1 species